UUACCACCAGUUACCACAAAUAUAGCGACCCCUUGAUAAUGAUAAAAAUAUUCUUCUCGAGCAACACUGUUUAAGUUGCUACGAACUAGUUACCUAGGAACCCCGAAUAAAUAAACAAAACUAAGUUGAGGAACAGUUAAAAUUAUUUAACUUUUGGUCCCUCAUUACCACUUUAUAAGAGUAACUUAAGAAAGUAGAACGUGCAAAUGUUACAGCCAUCAUGAGUGCAAGCUGUAAUAAAAGUGAGUGCUUGAAAUUUUAUUUGUGAGCUUUCAAUAUAGCUCAUCGUAUUCGGAUCUGAGAGUUGGACAUGUACGGCCUACAAGGGCGAUAUUCUAGAAAAGAGCGAUAUUCCCUAGAAAAACAUUUGCCAAAGUUCAUUUGUCUGAUAAAAUUUUGCCAAUACAAUGAAUAAAUGAGAAUUGAAGGAUUCGCUUUCA